UACGUAGGGCGCGAGCGUUGUCCGGAAUUAUUGGGCGUAAAGAGCUCGUAGGCGGCCUGUCGCGUCCGCUGUGAAAACCCAGGGCUUAACCCUGGGCUUGCAGUGGAUACGGGCAGACUAGAGGCAGGUAGGGGAGAAUGGAAUUCCCGGUGUAGCGGUGAAAUGCGCAGAUAUCGGGAGGAACACCGGUGGCGAAGGCGGUUCUCUGGGCCUGACCUGACGCUGAGGAGCGAAAGCGUGGGGAGCGAACAGG
rnacentral:rRNA from 1 species